rnacentral:tRNA from 1 species
CGGGAUAGCUCAGCUGGUAGAGCAGAGGAC